rnacentral:piRNA from 1 species
UCAUCUGUAGGACAACAUUUA